GUGCUCACCUUGGCAGCACAUACACUAAAAUUGGAAUGACAGAGAUUAGCACUGCCCCUGAGCAAGGAUGACAUACAAAUUCGUGAAGCGUUUCAUAUUUUU
rnacentral:snRNA from 1 species